rnacentral:rRNA from 1 species
GACGAACGCUGGCGGCGUGCCUAAUACAUGCCAGUUGAGCGAUGAAGAUUGGUGCUUGCCCCAAUUUGAAGAGCAGCGAACGGGUGAGUAACGCGUGGGGAAUCUGCCUUUGAGCGGGGGACAACAUUUGGAAACGAAUGCUAAUACCGCAUAACAACUUUAAACAUAAGUUUUAAGUUUGAAAGAUGCAAUUGCAUCACUCAAAGAUGAUCCCGCGUUGUAUUAGCUAGUUGGUGAGGUAAAGGCUCACCAAGGCGAUGAUACAUAGCCGACCUGAGAGGGUGAUCGGCCACAUUGGGAAUGAGACACGGCCCAAACUCCUACGGGAGGCAGCAGGAGGGAAUCUUCGGCAAUGGACGAAAGGCUGACCGAGCAACGCCGCGUGAGUGAAGAAGGGUUUCGGAUCGUAAAACUCUGUUGGUAGAGAAGAACGUUGGUGAGAGUGGAAAGCUCAUCAAGUGACGGUAACUACCCAGAAAGGGACGGCUAACUACGUG